rnacentral:lncRNA from 1 species
GGGAUUUAUAAAUGAAUUUGGGAAGAUUUGUCAUCCUAUAAUAUGGAGGCUUCCACUAAUAAAAAACAGUUUAAUUAUUAAUAAUUAAUUUAAUUACUUUAGUUCUUAUUUAAUAGUUCUCAGCAAUGAUUGAGUGUACAAAUCAUGAAUAUCUUAGUUGGGGUUAUCCAUACUAUUUUUCAUAAUUUUUAAAUGAUAUUUUAAUUCCAUUUCUCUUAAUUUAUCACUUGUGUGUAGAAAUACAGUUGAUAUUUUCAUAAUGAACUUGCAUCCUGCAAUUUUGUUGAGGUAACUUGUGUAUUUUAAAGACGGGUUCUUUCUCUGUUGCAUAGGCUGGAGUGCAGUGGUGCAAUCACAGCUUCCUGUAGCCUCAAUCUCUCAAGCUCAAGUGAUCCAUCCACCUCAGCCUUCAGAGUAGCUGGGACUACAGGCGUAUGCCACCAUGUCUGGCUAAUUCUUUUUAAAAUUUUUUUGUAGAGAUAGGGUCUUCCUGUGUUGCCCAGGCUGGUCUCAAUCUCCUGAACUCAAUCAAUCCUCUCGCCUUGGCCUCCCAAUGUGUUAGGAUUACAGAUGUGAGCCACCUUGCCCAGCUUUAACCGUUUUAAAAGGUAUUUUGGAAACAAUACACUGAAGAUACUGUGCACCUAAGAUUCUCCAAGUAAUUGGAAUUCAACACUAAAAAUGCCUAUAACUAUAACUAAACCAUGCCACUAUAGAAGAGAUCAUGUAACUUAUGAAGAAAAAAGAUUCAAAUAGUGGGAACCAAAGGAAAAAGUAAAAGAUAGAUUUUAAAAUAAAAUCCCUGUAUUUGGUUUUUAAUUAUUGUAUUCUAUUCGGUACUUUGGCAUAAAAAGUGCAAUGCAUAUUAUGUUUUUGAAUUACUUGAAUUUGGUAAAAUACUUGAUAUUACUUUUGGUUUUCAGACACUCAAUAAUAUGCAGCCAAUAAAGAAAAUCUCUUUCUCAUGAUUCUAAUUUUCAUGAGAUAAAUUGUUUCUUACACAGUUCCUGCAUCACGCAUUACCUGUUUCUCCUUCCCACAAAAGUGGAGUAAUUUGCCUGGUUGGAGAGAAAAUAAAUUUUUAUGUGUCUUAAUUUAGGUAUAAUUAAUGCUCAAAAGUCCUAAGCCUAGAAAAUUUGAUCAAUUUUUCCUUCUUAUCUUCCUGGAAAAGUACAAGGUAGCAUCUCAGUUCAUUUUGAGUUCUCUGCAGAUGCAGACGUUGGCUUAAGUGAGCAGUGGGCGGGGAAGCAGGAAAAGGAGUUUGCAGACACAUUGGCCCCUUCAUUGAGUUACAAUUUCCAAAUCAUCCUUUAUCAGUAACAAAGGCAAUAUGUUUUCUCCUCUUUAUUUUAAUCUCUUGUAUUAUUGUCUAGUAAAUUCAGAAUUUGGUAGGAAAAUUGAGUUUAAGUGUCUUCAAACAAGAAUCAAAGAAACCAUUCUAAAUUUUGUAACACCUCAGCAAACUCUGGGUAACCCUGCUUUACCUCAGUACUCAUGUGGAACAAUGCAAUGUGAACAAGUAGGCUGGUAAAUGUAGCCUAAAAUAAUAUUCUUCUCUAGAAACAAACAGACCAAAAAUGUUGCCUUCGUAAAGUAUGUGAAAACAUGUCUGUGGCAGAAUGAUUCAAGAUUGGCCUGGAACCUCUUGUUGCAAGAAAUUAAACAUGCUAUUUAAAACGUCUAGAUUAGCAGCUUAAAGGGAGAAAAUAAUUACUGGCUUAAUUGUGAUGAAAAAUAAAGUGAUUAUAGUUUGUUGAAACAAAUGGAGUAAAUGAAAGGAAUUAUGCAUAUUGCAUUGACAAUAAAAAUGGAAAGGUAACAAAAUGAAUGCCAUAGAGCAGUUGUAAAGCACACAUGAUUUUCCAAGACAGUCCACCUGUAACACUAUAUACAUUGUUAAGCCCAAAUUCUGAGUCCUAUGUUAAUUUAAUGAUAAACCACAUGUCGGGUUUUUUGUUAUAUGUCAAAUAUUUGGAAAGGCAUAUAUAGAAUGUUAAAUGGUUGAAAAUGUUCAGAAGAAAAAUAUUUGCCUCAGAAAAGGGAAGAGGAAACCCAUCCAUGUUUUGUUAUUGAAAUAGAAUGUGUGAAGUCAUUGAUUUUAGAAGAACAAACCUCUGGUUUGCAAAGAAGUGGAAAAUAUAAGGACAAGAAAAUUCAAGAAUUAUGUAGUACGAGGUAAUCCAACAAUGAAGUAAGAGCUUAUCCAAACAGAUUCUAGGUCUCAAUAGUGGCUGAGCACCUGUCCAUUCCCUGUUGCCCCAUCAGUAAACCCUACUUUAUGGUAAUAGCAUUAUAAUCAGAAAACCCAUAUGCAAAUAAAAAAUUGCAUUAAUUUCAGGGCUUUAAUUCCUUGUUUGGAUAGCUCCACAUUCAGGGAGGGUUUGGGAAGGAAAUUGAGAAGGGUUUGUGAUAGAAAAAGCAAAUAAUGCCUUGAGGAAAAUAAACUGAAUUUUUAUAUAAAGGAAUUUAACAUCAUCUUAUACACUAUUAAAAAAAUUGUGGUGUCCUGUAUAUACACGGACUGCAGUCAGAGUCAGUGCAAGUAUAAAUCCUGUAAUUUCAUGUCCAUAUUAUAAUCACUUGUCAUUUUGUAAUUCAUCAUUUCCUGAAGGCAUCUUUGGGUUUUGGAAAAGGUAGACAUUCAUGCCAAGAGCACAUACUAGUUUGAACUGUUAAUCUCCAUAUAUCAAAUCCCAACUAUUACGGCAUAAAUUCUUUGAGUGCAGCACCAAAUUUUGUACAACUAUUCAUAAUGUUGCAUGAGGAUAUACACAUAGUAAAUGUAUAAUACUAAUUUCUGAAGGAUAAAUAUAAUUUCUGAAACUUAAAUUCUACAUGCAGAAAACGGAACUUGCUAAUAACUCAAGAAACAUGAAUGCACACAUUAUUGCAUUUUAUAAUCAGAAUAACUCUUUAAAAUAAUGAAAUACAUUGUGAAUCCAAUAUACAUAUGUUUUCUUCCAAUUUAGCAUAUUAAUUUAAGCAUAUAGCUUGUUAAUGCAAUAUUCAAACCAGUUAAAUCGUCAGUUUUAACAUUUUUUUCCCAAAACAUGAUAUGCAUAUAAAUUUAGAGUAAAAGGGGAAAAAAAGGCAAUUGACAGAUAGAGGCAAGAAAUGAUUGGCUUUCUUCACUAAAUGUCUGAGUAGGCAGAGA